AGCGAACGCUGGCGGCAGGCCUAACACAUGCAAGUCGAACGGAUCCUUCGGGAUUAGUGGCGGACGGGUGAGUAACACGUGGGAACGUGCCCUUUGGUUCGGAACAACUCAGGGAAACUUGAGCUAAUACCGGAUGUGCCCUUCGGGGGAAAGAUUUAUCGCCAUUGGAGCGGCCCGCGUCUGAUUAGCUAGUUGGUGAGGUAACGGCCCACCAAGGCGACGAUCAGUAGCUGGUCUGAGAGGAUGAUCAGCCACACUGGGACUGAGACACAGCCCAGACUCCUACGGGAGGCAGCAGUGGGGAAUCUUGCGCAAUGGGCGAAAGCCUGACGCAGCCAUGCCGCGUGAAUGAUGAAGGUCUUAGGAUUGUAAAAUUCUUUCAGCGGGGACGAUAAUGACGGUACCCGCAGAAGAAGCUCCGGCUAACUUCGUG
rnacentral:rRNA from 1 species